CCUACGGUGGGGCUGCAGUGGGGAAUAUUGGACAAUGGGCGAAAGCCUGAUCCAGCCAUGCCGCGUGUGUGAAGAAGGCCUUCGGGUUGUAAAGCACUUUCAGUGGGGAAGAAAGCCUUGGGGCUAAUACCCUCGAGGAAGGACAUCACCCACAGAAGAAGCACCGGCUAACUCCGUGCCAGCAGCCGCGGUAAUACGGAGGGUGCGAGCGUUAAUCGGAAUUACUGGGCGUAAAGCGCGCGUAGGCGGUCUGAUAAGCCGGUUGUGAAAGCCCCGGGCUAAACCUGGGAACGGCAUCCGGAACUGUCAGGCUAGAGUGCAGGAGAGGAAGGUAGAAUUCCCGGUGUAGCGGUGAAAUGCGUAGAGAUCGGGAGGAAUACCAGUGGCGAAGGCGGCCUUCUGGACUGACACUGACGCUGAGGUGCGAAAGCGUGGGUAGCAAACAGGAUUAGAUACCCGAGUAGUC
rnacentral:rRNA from 1 species